CGGGGCGUGGCGCAGCUUGGUAGCGCAUCUGCUUUGGGAGCAGAGGGUCGCAGGUUCAAAUCCUGUCGCCCCGAC
rnacentral:tRNA from 1 species